AGCCUCCCAGAGGUAGGAGCCUGGAGUCUUAGAGGACAGAGGCAGGGAUUUCUUCCCAGAGAGCAGAGUCAGAGUCCAGUCAAGGAACUCCCACUGCCAGGGCAAAGGGGCCUCCUCAAUGCCUCACCAACAGGAUUUCAUAACUAUGGAGGGCUGGGGCCUCCGGUGUCCCACAUGCCUCCUAUGGGCAUUUUAUCACAGAUCAUGCCAGGGAUCCACCAUUGUGACUGUGGAGAUAAAUUUGUCUUAGCUCCUGACCUUUAGGAGCCACAUUCAAACUGGUGCCUCACCUGGAGAUCUUGGAAUUUGAGUGGGAUAUAGUAACUGGAUGGGACUUUGGGCUGCUGCCUCUGAGGAAAGUGAGGGUGUUCUAUGAGGGCAAGAAGAUAAAAAAAAAUGUAUAUUUGGAUCUAAAGGGAGGGCCAUUCCUAAGACUGGUAGUUAUUCAUUUAAAAAUGUCCUCUUUCUGGGUGAACAGACUGCAGUUCCCAGACUCCCUUGCAGCUGCAUGAGCCCACAUGAUUGAAUCCUAGCCAAAGGAGCAUGGGUACAAAUGCUGUUUUGUUAUUUCCUGACUCAUAAAAACUUCCCAUGGGCAAUCCUUUCUGCUCUUUCACCUUCAGCCAACUGGUUGGAGACAACUCAACUACCACUUUGUAAAUUUCAUGUUGGAGAUGGCACAGUCUUACCAGCCUGGGUCCCUGAAUGAUGAAGUGGAGCAGAACCCUUUCUUACCUCCCUACUCCCCAACCCAGAGCUACUUAAAACUGUUAUAAGAGAGCAAAGAGAAAUUUCAGUUACAUUUCAGAGAUAUGAAUUUUAGUCUGUUAACUGGUACACAAACAUGGACUACCGGAAGCAAUACUACAAUAUAAAGGAGUUGAGAACCAAGGAGCAGUAGUGGAAUUAGAUGAGUUAAAUACGUCAUGGAGGGGUUCUGGGAAGAGGUAAACCUUGAGGUUGACUUUGAAGAAGCUGUAGAACACCUGAGAAAAAUAACUUUUUACAUAGUUAUCAAAAGUAAUUGCCUUCCCAUGUGAUAAGAAUGAAAUAUCUUCCUAUGAAUUUGAAAAAAAUACCUCUAUGCAGUGAGAAUUGGCCUGCCGAACUUGUAAAGUGUAACUUAUUUUGAGAAACACCAAUGGCAAGGAGCCAGCUAAGAUCAAAGGUCACAAUUUCAUAAUCCUCAGGCCAUAUCAAGCCUACUGGCCAGAGCUGCCUCUCAGACAUGUUUUUACAGUGUUGUUGUUUUUUGAGGGGUUGGGGUGGGCGGUUAGAGAUAUCCCUUCUGAAACUUGGAUAUUGUUCCGAGUUCCGACAACCUUGAGUUUAUCUAUAUUCCUUCAUGACAAUAAUCAGCUGAUGCUGAGUCUUAGCUGUUGUCCACUGUGGCCUCCAGUCUGACAGAGCCCACCAUUCCUGGGAUGGCCCCACACUGUUAAUCGCUGGCAUGUGUCACUAAUCCGGUUACCUACCUGGCUUAGGUAGUCAUUUGAGGUUGUGUCCCAAAGCCAGACGAUAUACCUGAUUCAUAAAGUUUUGUGACAAUUCAUUUUAAAAAUGUUUUUAAAGUUCACAUAAUUUGGACCCUUAAAGACGAAAACAACUAGAACUUGUUUUAUUAUCUAUUUGGUUUUGUUUUACUUCAUAGAUCCAAGAUGUUGGAAAUGACAGACGGAGUUAUGCUUUUCCCUCACAGGUAAUGACUUACACUCUCUGAGGAAGCAAGAAGAAAUUGGACCCACAACAGAGGUGGCAGAAUCGGGCCUCUCAGAGAAAGGACAAGAAAGUGAAGAAAGUGGGGAUCUGCCCAGAAAGCUCAGAUGGCAAAGUUUGGAAGUUUGAGAAAAGCACUGAAGAUAGAAUAACAAAGAGGACUGGUGGAUGGAAAUGAUUAAAGGCAAGGACUUUUGAUUCUCACAGCAAAUCCAAGCCCUGCACGUCCUUGCAAUCUCUGUAGAAGCCCUGCCCCUCAGUCACCAGGCUCCAGGACUGGGGUCUGGGGCUGUGCAGAAGACAGGAUGGACUCAGAUGCAACUGGAUAUCAUGGAGGCAGUAACAAGAUAGUCCACAUGGUAGAAAAUGCAGGCCUGGAUUUGAGCAGUGGUUUAAGGGAAAGGGGAGGUGGGACUGGGAUUUAAAGACAUAAAUGCUGUAGAAUUGAGAGGACUACAUGACCAACUAGAUAUGAGAGUUAGGACAUUGGUCCUGGAUGGGUGCCUGGGACAGACAGUGUGUCUGUAGGAGGGUCUAUCGCAGCAGUACUGACACCUACAAAGGUACACAACAGUCACACAUUACACAUUUUGUGGGGCUGGGAGUGUCCUACACAGCCUCUUGGGUCUUCCUCCUCCCUCCUUUUACAGAGGAGACACUGAGUCCCAGGGGUGUGAAGUCACUUACCCAUGAUCGCAGAGUUAGUGUCCAAGACAGCCCUGGAACCAAAUGACUGGAAGGGAAAGAGAAGAGUUGGAGAGAGACGGGGAGAAGAAGAGAGAAGGGGCAUGCAUUCAUUCAUCCCUCCACUCACUUCUUCAUUCGGCAAGUAGGUAUUGCCUUUUAGGUUCUGGGACCUGCUUUUAGGGAACUUCUAGCCAGGGAGGGGCCAUAGACGGCCUUUGGGAAAAGUGUGCAGGAUUCGUGGGACCCCCAGGAGGAAAGAGUCAUUUCUGUGUGGUGCUGGAGUGGGUGGAUGCGAGUGCCAGGAAAAGCGUCCAACUUGACCAAGGAAGCACCUUGACCGAGUGUUAAAAGAUGAGGUGGACCAAGUGGAAAAGGACAGCUCAUCAGAGGGAGUGAGAGCCAGGCCAGAAAGCAAGCUGUCUGAGGUAGCCCUCAGGUUGAAGAGUGAGGGAGUGUGUCCCCUUGGAAACCCUGUUUGACUGGUGGGGGAACAUAGUGGGAAACUUCAAAGAGAGGUGUUGCUGUAGCGUGGGGGAUGGCUUUGCCCCUUGCAGGCCUGGUCAGUGCACAUCAGCCAGCGGGAGGGAAGAAAGUUGUCUCGGAAAACUGGAGGGGGCAGAGCACAAAGCCAGAACCAGGGCUCCAGGAUCAGCUCCACUGCACCCAAACCGCCAGAUACCACACUGGGCACUUGGACCCUGGAGGCGAGUCAGAUUAAUAAAUAACACAAAUAAAAAGUGGCCGCGCUAAAACCCAUGAGCAAGAGUGUUGAGAGAGGGGGUAAUUCCAUCCAGCUGGGAAGGAGGCGCAGAGGGAGGAUCCUGAGGAAGAAGCAGGAUGUCGAUAGAGUUGAUGGGAGUCAUAGAGAAAUAAAAGACUUACCGGGGAACCAUGAAUUAUUCUGACAGCAUUUCUGCCUUAGGGAGGAGCGUCCGUGGGUUUCACAGAAGCAGCGCUGGGCCCUGUGUUUUCUCUGAGCCCGGCUCCUUGGGUCUGCCUACCUCAUCCUCUCACCUGCCGGGUCAGCAGUUCUCUUACUGGGGCUGUCUUGGCUUCAUUUCCACAGUUUGUGUGGCUCUCUGUAGAUGUUAAAUAAAUGUCCGUUGAAUGAUUAAAAAUGGCGAUGAGAAAAUAUUUGGAAGGGCCUCAAUCCUCCCACCACUAGGGAAAAUCUGGGAUUUUAAAACAGAAAGUUUGGUUUGCCCACAGGGCUUCCUUCUCCAGGUUCUGCAUCUUUUCUUGUGUCUUCUGAUGUUUUUGUGAAUCCGUCUGAAGUUUGGUGAACCAGUCCCAGAACAAGGCGUGUGUAUGUCUUUGUCAAGUAGUAGAUUCUUUUAUUUUAGAACAAAGUUUUAAAUAUUAUAAUAAAAUA